GAUGCAGGAUAUUAUUUCAAUUUUCUUGUAUCCAUUUGCUUUGUGUCUGAGUAUGUGGUCAGUUUUGGAGGAAAGUCUUAGGAGGUGCAGAGAAUGUGUGUUCUUUUGUGUCUGGGUGAAAUGUUUUCUAGAUAACUGUUAGGUCCAAAUUGUGUUUGGUGCAUAGAUGUUAAGAAUUGCAGUAUCCUCUUGGUGAACUUUGCUUUUGAUGAGUAUGCAGUGCCUUCCUUGUCUCUUCUGAUUAGUUUUGGUUUGAAGUCGGUUUUGUCAGAUACUAAAAAUGGCUCUACCAGAUUGCUCCUUAGGUUCAUUUGUUUAGAAUAUCUUUUUCCAUCCUUUUAUUUUGAGGUGAUGUCUAUCCUUGAUGUUAAGGUAUGUUUUAGAUGCAGCAAAAGGAUGAGUCCUCUUUUCACAUCCAUUUUGUUAAUCUGUGUUAUUGGGAAAUUGAGACCAUUGAUACUGAGAAAUAUCAGUGAACCAGUGGUUGGUGAUUCUGCUGCUACUGUGUGUUUCCUCUUCUAUUAUUUGCUAGUCUGUGGUUAUCUAGUCCCUGUGUUUUCUUAGGUGUAGUUAACCUCUUUGGUUGGAGUUUUUCUUGUAGCACAGUGAUUCUCAACCCUCCUAAUGCUGCAACCCUUUAAUACAGUUCCUCAUGUUGUGAUUACCCCAACCAUAGAAUUAUUUAUUGCUAUUUCAUAACUAUUAUGAAUUGUAAUGUAAAUAUACAGGGUAUCUGAUGUGCAGCCUCUAUGAAAGAGUUAUUGGACCUCUAGAGGUGUCACCGCCCACAGGUUGAGAACUGCUGGCUAGAUUUCUAAUAGAUACUGUUUUAAUUUGGUUUUCUUACAAAUGUCUUAUUUUCUCAAUUUAUUAUGAUUGAAAGUCUUGCUGGGUAUAGUAGUCUAGCUCAUCUGUCUAGGCCCUUCUGCUUUUUAUAGAGUCUCCAUUGAGAAAUCAAGUGUAAUUUUAAUGGUUAUGCCUUUAUAUGCCUUUAUAUUCUUUCUUUGUUCUGUACAUUUAGUGUUUUGAUUUAUUAUUAUUAUUAUGUGGCAAGGGAACUUAUUUUCUGGUUUAGUCUAUUUGGUGUUCUGUAUGCUUCUUGUACCUUAAUAGAAAUAUCCUUUAGAUUGGGGAAAUUUUAUAUAUUUCCUGUGCCUUUUGUGGGUUUUAAUUGGGUUUGUUUUCUUUUUUUUAAGAUUUAUUUAUUAUUUUAUGUAUAUGAGUACACUGUAGCUGUACAGAUGGUUGUGAGCCUUCAUGUGGUUGCUGGGAAUUGAAUUUAGGACCUCUGCUUACUCAGGUCAACCCUCUUCACUCCGGCCCAAAGAUCUAUUAUUAUAAAUAACUACACUGUAACUGUCCUCAGACAUUACGGGUGGUAGUAGACAAGAGCUGACUCCUACAAGUUGCCCUCUGAGCUGGGAUUGAUGGCAUACACAUAUAUAAUCUGAGUACUUCAGAGACUGAGUUCAAGUGUAUAUGGAGUGCAGGGGGUUGAUUUUGAAACUGGCUUGGUAUGUAAUAACCCAAACUGGCCUUAAACUCUCACCUACCUCAGCUUCCUGAUGUUUCGAUUUUUAUAAAUUUCUUCCAAAUCUGGCUUCAUAGAAUAUGGCUGAAUUCUCAUGUUUACUCCCAUAUUUAGCCUAUGAUGAUACAUUCAUUGUGAAGAAUACAGUGUCUGAACAGAAUUCAGUCUCACACAAAUAUUGUAGUGGAAAGGGAAGAGUAUUUUAAUAGCCUUUUCAGAUUGUUUUGGGUAUUCUACAGAUGGUAGUUUUGUGAAAGUUAGUUGCAUUGUGUUAUCUAAAAUCUUUUCUGAACAUUCAUUCCUCUGGUAAGUGAAAACCAGUGGUCUGCAGAAGUAUUUUAUAAUUCUCCUAUUGUUAUAUACAAAUAUUUUAUGUCCACCUUUUUUUUGUUGGUUUGGGUUGGGUUGAGGGGGUAAAUUUUUAUUGUUUGUUUGUUUGAUUGUUUUUUCCAGACAGGGUUUCUCUGUGUAGCCUUGGCUAUCCUGGAACUCAUCUGUAGACCAGGCUGGCCUCAAACUCAGAAAUCCGCCUGCUUCUGCCUCCCAAGUGCUGGGUUAAAGGCGUGUACAACCACUGCCUGGCUAUGUCCACAUUUUAAUUGCACUACUAAUUGUGUGCAUGUCAGAAUGAUUGAUACCAUGUGUAGCAAUCUCAGUAUCAAAUUCAGGUCAUCAGGCUUGGCAGCGAGUGUCUUCACCUGCUGAGUCAUUUCUCUGGCCCUUACCAUUGAGAUUUAUUUAGUAAAAGUAAUGUUUCUCCAUCAAGCACAAUCUCAAGUAAAACUGGCUACAUUUUUACUUUGCUUUAAAGGAAUGGGUGGCAGCCAAGAAUUCAAAAACUGUCCAUAUGCUUUGAAGUCACUGUCGUGGUUUGCACUAAAGUCCCAUUGGAUUAUCUACCAUUACUUUAGUGCCUUUUCAGUACCAUUUGUGUAAGUGUCAGUAAAACCAGAAGAUACAAAGUAUUUUAGUGCUAUUGUGUACAGUCUUGGAGACAUGUUGGACGUCUCAGUAAACUCCCUAGGCCUGUGAGCUAUAGUUUUGAGAACUUUAAACCAGAGAAUUUUGUAUCUAUUUGGCACUCUUCUUGUUUGUAUUUGGAAGAAAAAAUUAAAGACAUGUUUUUAAGUAUCUGGCACACAAUAUGGCUUUCCUUGGCUCAUCAGAAAUUAAGAACUUGAUAUUUUAUGGCUGUUCCUUUAGAAUGUCAUCAGUUAAAUAAAAUAUUUAGAAUUGUAGUGUUAGAGUUGUAGAGUGAGUGACAGUGGGUUCCAGAGUACUCUUCCACCACAUCGUCUGGGAAACAUAGAAGCCCCUACUCUUUGGAUUGCUGUAACUGAGCACCUUCCUUCCUUCCUUCCUUCCUUCCUUCCUUCCUUUCUUUCUUUCUUUCUUUCUUUCUUUCUUCCUUCCUUCCUUCCUUCCUUCCUUCCUUCCUUCCUUCCUUCCUUUCUUUCUUUUUUCUUCC
rnacentral:lncRNA from 1 species